rnacentral:rRNA from 1 species
GACGAACGCUGGCGGCGUGCUUAACACAUGCAAGUCGAACGGAAAGGCCCUGCUUUUGUGGGGUGCUCGAGUGGCGAACGGGUGAGUAACACGUGAGUAACCUGCCCUUGACUUUGGGAUAACUUCAGUAAACUGGGGCUAAUACCGGAUAGGAGCUCCUGCUGCAUGGUGGGUGUUGUAAAGUUUCGGCGGUUGGGGAUGGACUCGCGGCUUAUCAGUUUGUUGGUGGGGUAGUGGCUUACCAAGGCUUUGACGGGUAGCCGGCCUGAGAGGGUGACCGGCCACAUUGGGACUGAGAUACGGCCCAGACUCCUACGGGAGGCAGCAGUGGGGAAUAUUGCACAAUGGGCGGAAGCCUGAUGCAGCAACGCCGCGUGCGGGAUGACGGCCUUCGGGUUGUAAACCGCUUUCGCCUGUGACGAAGCGUGAGUGACGGUAAUGGGUAAAGAAGCACCGGCUAACUACGUG